rnacentral:rRNA from 1 species
AUUGAACGCUGGCGGCAUGCCUUACACAUGCAAGUCGAACGGUAACAGGGAGCUUGCUCCGCUGACGAGUGGCGAACGGGUGAGUAAAGUAUCGGAACGUACCUUUCAGUGGGGGAUAACGCAGCGAAAGUUGCGCUAAUACCGCAUAUUCUGUGAGCAGGAAAGCAGGGGAUCGCAAGACCUUGCGCUGAUUGAGCGGCCGAUAUCAGAUUAGCUAGUUGGUGAGGUAAAGGCUCACCAAGGCGACCGAUCUGUAGCGGGUCUGAGAGGAUGAUCCGCCACACUGGAACUGAGACACGGUCCAGACUCCUACGGGAGGCAGCAGUGGGGAAUUUUGGACAAUGGGGGCAACCCUGAUCCAGCCAUGCCGCGUGAGUGAAGAAGGCCUCGGUGUAAG